GUGAGGAAUAUUGGACAAUGGGCGCAAGCCUGAUCCAGCCAUGCCGCGUGCAGGAAGACGCAUCUAUGGUGUGUAAACUGCUUUUGUACGGGAAGAAACACUCCCUCGUGAGGGAGCUUGACGGUACCGUAAGAAUAAGGAUCGGCUAACUCCGUGCCAGCAGCCGCGGUAAUACGGAGGAUCCAAGCGUUAUCCGGAAUCAUUGGGUUUACAGGGUCCGUAGGCGGUUUAAUAAGUCAGUGGUGAAAGCCCAUCGCUCAACGAUGGAACGGCCCUUGAUACUGUUAGACUUGAAUUACAAGGAAGUAACUAGAAUAUGUAGUGUAGCGGUGAAAUGCUUAGAUAUUACAUGGAAUACCAAUUGCGAAGGCAGGUUACUACUUGUGGAUUGACGCUGAUGAACGAAAGCGUGGGGAGCGAACAGGAUUAGAUACCCGGGUAGUCC
rnacentral:rRNA from 1 species